rnacentral:lncRNA from 1 species
CAUUAUUGAAAAAAUAUGUCCACACUCUUUUAGAUGUGUAAGAUCUGAAGAACACAUGACUAACUAGUUCUUCUUUUGGCAUUACACAACACCAACAUUUAGAAGGCAUAAAAUAUCCCAUUCUCCUCAGAGCAUCAUCUAAAGGAUGCUUACCCUUCCAUAACUUCCACAUGAAAACAGAAAUCUUAAAUGGCAGUCCCUUAAUCUACAUAUUAGAAUAUGAAAGUGCAAGAUCUUUCCUCCUUCUCAAAUAAUGCCACGCAGAUUUAAUAGUGAAUUGUCCUGUAGUUUCUAGACUCCAAAUAGGCUUAUCCAGCUCAUCUGAACGUGCAGGACAUGUUAUGUUGUCUAGAAUGUGCAGAGCUA